rnacentral:rRNA from 1 species
AGCGAACGCUGGCGGCGUGCUUAACACAUGCAAGUCGAACGUGAAAUGUAGCAAUACAGAGUAAAGUGGCGUACGGGUGAGUAACACGUGGGUAAUCUACCAAAGAGCCUGGAAUAACCGACCGAAAGGUUGGCUAAUACUGGAUAGUUCAAAUGAAAUAUAAUGUUUCGAUUGGGAAAGGGAGCGAGCAAUCGCCUUCACUUUUUGAUGAGCCCGCGUCUGAUUAGCUAGUUGGUAGGGUAAUGGCCUACCAAGGCGACGAUCAGUAGCUGGUCUGAGAGGAUGAUCAGCCAAACUGGAACUGAAACACGGUCCAGACUCCUACGGGAGGCAGCAGUGGGGAAUCUUGCGCAAUGGACGAAAGUCUGACGCAGCCACGCCGCGUGAGUGAAGAAGGCCUUCGGGUUGUAAAGCUCUGUCGGAAGGGACAAAAACGUUUAAGGUUAAUAGCCUUAGAUCUUGAUGGUACCUUCAAAGGAAGCACCGGCUAACUUCGUGCCAGCAGCCGCCGUAA